rnacentral:misc_RNA from 1 species
AAAUCACCAAAUUUUGGGGUGAAUACGACUAUUUCAUAGCUGAAGGAUACAUAUCAAACACAGAUAUACUUGUCAUGCAUCAUGGAUGUAUGUAUUAUCAAGGAUAAACUCUGGAGCACAAGAACUUCCAAGUCAAACAGUUUUUCAUCAAUGGAAAGUACUACCGUUUUGGUUGGAGAGCUCAUUUGAGCUCAACAAUCCAACCCAUCUUAUCCUCUGAGAGCCCCAUUUGUAGGCUAGUAAGUGCAGAGUAUAACUGCUGCGACACAAAACCAACACCAUCAUUUCCAUAUGUCACCCUUCUCCCUUGAUGAGUAAUGCUACCAACAGGAGAUACUACCACGGCAGUUCCCGUACAGAAAACUUCGUCAGCAUCAAGCAAUUCGUCCACAGACACCUGUCGUUCCUCAACCUCGAAUCCUUGACUAAUAGCUACGUCGAUUAUGCUCUUUCGCGUAAUUCCAGGUAGAAUGGUUCCUUUAAUUGCAGGAGUUACUAUCAGAUUACCCUUCACAAUAAAGACAUUGCAAGAGGAAACCUCUUCGAGAUAUUUUUUCUGAACACAAUCAAGGUACAGAACAUCAGAAUAGCCUUUUGCUUUAGCAGCACUCUGUGCCUUCAGAACUGCAGCAUAAUUUCCAAUAGUCUUAACGCCUCCAGUACCACCAGGUGUUGCACGGUGCAUUUCAGUCUCAACUACCAAAUUUAUUGGUGCCAAACCUUCCUUAAAAUAAUUUCCAACAGGUGACACAUAAAUCAGGAAUGUGUACUCAGGAGCAGGAGCAAGACCAAGAACAGCUCCACUCCCCAUAAGCAGAGGUCUUAUGUAUAAUGAGCCUUUACCGGGAGGAGGAAUCCAUCUUUCAUUAGCUAACACAGUGGCUUUCACUGCUUCUACAAACUGUUCAACAGACGGUGAAGGCAUACACAUACGUUCAGCACCCAUCUUCAAACGCGUAGCAUUUUCCUCAGGUCGAAACAACAAUAUAUUGCCGUCAUGUUUUCGAUAUGCUUUUAAACCUUCGAACAAUCCCUGACCAUAAUUUAAUAUUCCAGCAGACGGACUCAACUCAAUGUUACCGAAACGCUGUAAUUCACCCUUAGAAAAGUUUUCACCCUGAGAGCAUUUCAUGCUAUACAUAUAAUCAGUAGGCAUAAAGCCAAAGCCAAGGUUAUCCCAAUCGAUGUCGGCUAAUUCAGAUGCAACGUCGCUUGCAGGAGAUGCCACACGAAAUGAAUUUCCACUGUUUAUGGCACUAUUACCAAUAUAAGAAGUGAAAUGCGACUGCUUCUGAAACUUGAGGGGCAAAGGAGAAAAAUUGAUUUUAUCAAUGGAAGGAGGAAGAAGCUUAAUAGCAGUUCGUGAUGGACCCAGAAGGUGGUUAUGGUGACCGGGAGUAGGGUGAAGCCCUGCAAAUACGGCGGGGGGAGCUGAGCAGAGAGAUAACACAAAAGAUAAAUGGAGAGCGCCGCCGUAUUUGCAGG